AUUUUACCCAGUUUGUUGUUUGCUUUUCAAUUUUAUUUAUGGAGUUUUAAAGCACCAGGUUUCUGACAUACAGAAUUUUAUACUCUUAAAGACCCAAGUGUUGUGAAAUAGCAAAACAUUAGAGAGAAACAGAUGAUACUCUGAGUGUCCAGAAAGGAAAAAAAAAAAAACAGAUCACAUGCAAGAAAUCAUAAUAAAAAUGACUCUAGACUUCUCAACAACAUUUGAAGGAAGAAGACAAUGGAGCAAUGUCUUUAAUGUGUUGAAGAGAAAUGCCUUCCAACCUACAAUAGUAUAACCAGCCAAACUAUCAAUCAAGGAUUGCUUUGGCUAUUCAGAAACCCCAUUUUAAAGCUUUAAAUGGAUUAAUUCUGGCCUUACACACUGCAUUGAGGUUAGUAAUUAACUAUUACUGCAUAGCAAAUUACCCAAAAUUUAGUGGCUUGAAACGAUGAACAUUGAUCAUUUUACAGUUCCUAUGGGUGGCCAGACAGAGCCACAAAUUUUUUUGACUGAGCCUUGGAAGUCACAUGCCAUCACUUCUGCCAUAUUCAUAGACCAACCCUGAAACAAUAUGUAAGGGGAUUACACAAAGUUGGGACUAUCAGGAGGUGAACAUCACUGGGAGGCCAUCUUGGAGGCUGGAUUUCCCACACACAUACAGGAGUAACUAUUCUGCAGAGAUACCUUUAACAGUGGAACUAAACACAUAUGAAAAAUAAAAGGGGGCCGGCCCAGUCGUGCAGUGGUUAAGGUCACAUGCUCCGCGUUGGCUGCCCUGGGGUUCGCUGGUUCAGAUCCCGGGUGUGGACAUAUGCACCGCUCAUCAAGCCAUGCUGUAGCAGGUGUCCCACAUAUAAAAUAGAGGAAGAUGGGCACGGAUGUUAGCUCAGGACUAAUAUUCCUCAAAAAUAAAAACAACAGUGAAACUGCUUCUAAAGGCAGAGUAUUUUGCCUUAUACAUAAAAACCCUCAACAAUUUACUGAAUGAAUAAAGAUUCACUCCUACAACCUAAAGAGAAAACAAUUAAGCAAAUUAAUUUAUUACUUUUUUUGUCUGAGCUUGGACACUGAUUGAUUUUCUUCCACAGUCUGGCCAUCUGUGUCUUUUAGAGAUGGUGUUCAGCAGAAGUGAGGAAGAUGGUGAUACAACUGAGCACCAAGACGAUGGUGAUACAGUUGAUCACUAACAGGUUUCCAUGCUGAGGGAAGACAGAAGGAGGAUAUGGCAGGAUGUCUCCAAAGCACCUAGUAGCUUGGGUCUUGGGGUAUAGUAAUCAAGGAAAAAAGGUCUUUGGAGGAUAUCAAAGACAUCACAGUCAAGAGAUAAUGCCUGAAAAUGUACAACAAGCAGCAUACCAUUUCCUCCUUAUAAAUGUUUUUCUAAUUGUGAUAUUUGUAUGUUCAGGAUAUCUUCAAGAUUUCAGCAGAAACAUCCCAUUUUUCCUCUCUACAACCCCAGUCCUCAUUUGCAGGAAGCUGAGAGUGCCCAUGCCAAAUCUCAGACCAGUGGAGAUAACAUUUAUUGUAAAGAGCAUCUCAAGCUAAAUCCAGUCAGCCUGGAGAGGCACCAGAAAUAGAAUGAUCAGCUUCCCAAAAGCCUCCAUCUUGGGAAUGAUGCUGAUAGUUCUCAUGCAUCCACAGAUAGUGCUUAAUAAAUAUAUUUAGAUGAAUAAAUAAGAGAAUGCAUGAAAGCAUCCACAUGUAAAUUGAAUAGAAGUUUUAAAAAUAUUUGGUGGGAGACUGAGUCAACCAAAGAAACGUAAUAUGGAAUUAUUCAGUGUAUCAGCAUAAUGCCAUUCCAUUCAGACCCAAGCUUCCUGCUGCUAUGCCCUCACUCUGUGAUGGAGAUGGAUAUCUUGGGAAUAAGCUCCAAGUUCCCCCAGAAAGCUGAAGAGGCUGGCACAAUUAUCCUUCUAUGGAACUCUAGCCCCGAAACAAUGAAGUUUGUUAAUGAAUGUCUACUGACUAGGGUAUGGUGUCUCCUAAAUGAUUUAGUAUCUAUCAAUUCCAGUAGCAAUAAAUAAUUGCUAAACAUCUUAAAGAGAGCGCUGUCUUGCUUGUCUCAUCCUCUGCUAGCACAUAGCAGACCCUCAGCAAACAUUUCUGGAAUGAAUUCAUGUUUUGCCAGCUGUGUUACCUCCUCUGCCAGUACAAGCUCCAUGGCCAGUUAACCAGAAUAUAAACUGGACUAUAAAUCUCUUAAAAGAGGUAUAUUUUUGCUUAUGUGAAAAGGAGGCAAAAUCAUGAAUCAAACUAGAGGGUAUAUUUGACAAGAAACUGAUUUAAGAAGAAUUGAAUUAGCUAGACAAGCCAAGCUGCAAUAGUGAAUGCAGUUUAUUGCCAAAGAUAUUACCAAGUUAGGACAGAGAAGAUGUGGUUCAACCAGUCACAGGAGCUUUGAAGUAAACCAUUUCAACCUGGCGCCAGGUGAAAUUGUGAAACUGGCUUGGUCUGACUGUGUGGCCCCUAGGCCUCCCUCUCUCCUUUAUUCCUUUUCCUAGGCUAAAAAUUCCAUCAUGUUUUCUCCACUCUCUCUCUAACUUUUUUAUGUUACAAGGGAAAUCUGAUGGUGGUAGGUUGUAAUUAUCUCCAAAGCUACCCGUAUUUCAUGUAUUGCAAUGGCCUCGGCAAAUUUCCCUGCUGUAGACAGUGAGUGCACCACCACUGAGUUGGAAUAAAAUCCAGCAUUUUUCCUAGAAGGAAGGGCUGAGAUUUCUGCCUUUAUUUCCUACUUUUUUCCAGAUGUGCUUGUUGAAAGCCCAGCUUCCUCCUCAAGUAGUGUAGUCAGACAGAACUUGACAUAGAUUGGUUAGGGGAGGCGGUGCGGGGAAGUUGAAGAUGUUUAGCAAUUACAAAAGAGCCCUCGAAUUCAGGGAUUAUUCGAUAUGUAAUCAACAGUCCCAAAACAACAUCUACUUAGACAAGAAGAGAAUGCAAUGCAAACUCAACUGAAUAUUUCUUUGGGCAAUUUAUUUAGAAUCUUUUGUCCUUGCAUGACUCAACCUGACUUUUUAAAACUGUGAGUCACCGUGAUGCUCAUUCUGACCAAUACUUUAAUGCUUCAUUGCUUGGGGGGAAAUGAGUAUUGCAUUUUGAAUCCAGCACCUUAUAUCUAGUGUAUCUUGUCUUAACUAUUGAGAGGGAUUAUUGAAGGCUUAGUAAAUUACUCUGUUACAGCAUGAUACAAGAUAGCCUCUUAAUAUUGUGUGUCUAGUUCUGACAUCUGGAACUGCUGCAGCCAUCUUGUGACCACGAGAAGAGCAGUAAAAGAAAUUUUUGCUGAACUUUGAAUGUAUGCAUUCAAACUUACUUACUGCAUGACCUUGAGCCUGUAAUAUAGCAAGGCGUCAGAACAAACGCUUCCCCAGAAGAAGGAUCUAGAGUAACUGCUUUUCGAAAACUUAGAGUCAGUAGAAAAGCUGCCUAAUGGUAAAUUUGUGACUGAACUAUCUAGACUCUACAAACUGACUUGGGGCAUAGCAAUCAGCUGUGCCAAGCUCCACUAUUACCAAGCAGUUUCGAACUGGCAAUCCAAGGGGUUGUUUAAACCAAGGAAUCAUUUUUCCUUGUGAAAAUUUGUGGCUUCUGCCUUUAUAGGUCCCACCCUUGUCUUUGAUCAGAGACAGUCUUCGGAAGGCUGCACUCUCUUAUAUACCUAGAAACAGGUAAAUCCCCAAGGCUUUAUACUAAAUUUGUCUCCAAAGUAUUCUUUGCAGUUUAACACUUACUCUGCCUCAGAAUCUUUAUGUUUGUUUUGUCUAGAGGUCAAAACUGAUACACCAAAGAUGGCAAAGCAGAAAGGCAGAAAGAAACUGGUUCCUUGGUGACACCUUUGUUUUACUAACUGUGGAGCCCUCCUACCUCUGGACUUUGUUAUAUGAUAUAAUAAACUUCCUUUUUUGCCUAAGCCACGUGGAGAUGGGCUUUCUGUUUACUUGUCCAAAAAAUAAAAUUGAUACACCUUCUCUCGUUGCUCUUUCAAAAAUAGUGCCCCUACCCCCAUCAAACACUGCUCUCUUAUCCUCCUUAUUAUAUAUUUAUUUGUUUGUUUACUUGUUCAUUGUCAAUGUCUCCCACUAAAAUGUAAGCUCCACAACACAGGGAACUUGGUCUGUUCAGAAGCCCAGUGUCCAGAAAGUGCUAGCGUAUUACAGAUGCCCAAUAAUAUUUG
ensembl:lncRNA